GGUUAGGGAUCGUGGCAAGGGGUUAGCGACUAGCUAGAGCUCCUACGGAGUUAUUUAGAUAGAUCUAUGUCAUCUUUCUUUUUGUUUUGUGGAAAGAUGUAUUAUACAUUUGGUUUAGAGUUGUUGUUAGACUUUUGGAUUUAGUUGUAUACAUUUGUAUAUCUUGUGGAUAUAUUUGUGAUAGAAUAUUAGUGAUUAUAUAUUAUUCGCUCUGAUAGCCUUUUUAGGAUUUGAUAUUAUUCAUUCUUGU
rnacentral:lncRNA from 1 species